rnacentral:rRNA from 1 species
UCCAGGCCCUACGGGGUGCAGCAGGCGCGAAUACUCCGCAAUGCGGGAAACCGCGACGGGGCUACCCCGAGUGCCGGGCGAAGAGCCCGGCUUUUGCCCGGUGUAAGGAGCCGGGCGAAUAAGCGGGGGGUAAGUCUGGUGUCAGCCGCCGCGGUAAUACCAGCCCCGCGAGUGGUCAGGGUGAUUACUGGGCUUAAAGCGCCCGUAGCCGGCCCGGCAAGUCGCUCCUGAAAUCCCCGGGCUCAACCCGGGGGCGGGGGGCGAUACUGCCGGGCUAGGGGGCGGGAGAGGCCGCCGGUACUCCGGGGGUAGGGGCGAAAUCCGAUAAUCCCCGGAGGACCACCAGUGGCGAAAGCGGGCGGCCAGAACGCGCCCGACGGUGAGGGGCGAAAGCCGGGGGAGCAAAGGGGAUUAGAUACCCCUGUAGUCCCGGCCGUAAACGAUGCGGGCUAGCUGUCGGCUGGGCUUAGGGCCCGGCCGGUGGCGUAGGGAAACCGUUAAGCCCGCCGCCUGGGGAGUACGGCCGCAAGGCUGAAACUUAAAGGAAUUGGCGGGGGGGCACCACAAGGGGUGAAGCUUGCGGCUUAAUUGGAGUCAACGCCGGAAACCUUACCCGGGGCGACAGCAGGAUGAAGGCCAGGCUAACGACCUUGCCGGACGAGCUGAGAGGAGGUGCAUGGCCGUCGUCAGCUCGUGCCGUGAGGUGUCUGGUUAAGUCCAGCAACGAGCGAGACCCCCACCCCUAGUUGCUUCCCCGCUCUUCGGGGCGGGGGGCACACUAGGGGGACUGCCGGCGUAAGCCGGAGGAAGGAGGGGGCCACGGCAGGUCAGUAUGCCCCGAAACCCCGGGGCUGCACGCGAGCUGCAAUGGCGGGGACAGCGGGAUCCGACCCCGAAAGGGGGAGGCAAUCCCGUAAACCCCGCCCCAGUAGGGAUCGAGGGCUGCAACUCGCCCUCGUGAACGUGGAAUCCCUAGUAACCGCGUGUCACCAACGCGCGGUGAAUACGUCCCUGCCCCUUGCACUCACCGCCCGU